UACAGAGGAGCCAAGCGUUGUCCGGAUUGACUGGGCGUAAAGCGCACGCAGGCGGCAUCGCGCGUGGGGUGUGAAAUCUGGCCGCUUAACGGCCAGGCGCCAUCCCAUACGGCGAGGCUGGAGCGAUGCAGAGGUCGGUGGAAUUGCCGGUGUAGCGGUGAAAUGCGUAGAUAUCGUAAGGAAGACCAGUGGCGAAGGCGGGUCUCUGGACAGUUCCUGACGCUGAGGCACGAAGGUCAGGGGAGCAAACGGG
rnacentral:rRNA from 1 species